rnacentral:lncRNA from 10 species
GUCGCUUUUGCCUUUCCGUGGACAAGCCUUCCUCCGCCAGCAGAUGCCCCGGGCAGGAAGAGAAGCGGUGGGUGAGUGGAAAGGGCCUUGGUAUGGAAACGCAGAGACCGAAUUCCUUCUCAUCUGCCAGCUCCGUGGCCGUGGGCACAUUAUCUGUUUUCUUAGUCCGGCUCAUCGUUUCUUUCAAAAACCAUUUUGGACCCUUCUGGGAAGGCAAAGAAGAGAAGCAGAGUGGACUGUGAGCGGACAUAAACCACCCUGAUGGGUAUGAUUUCCAUUUUUGGCACGGGAGUCCGGAGAUUUUGUGACCCUCUCCAAGGACACACAGCAAUCCCUUGAGAGCCCCAAGACCAGAGUCCAGUUGCCAUGACAUUGCUGCCCUAUAACCACACUCUGGAGGAAGAUACCUCAUGAAGACAAAAGCACCUAAGGCCUGAGAAAGUGAGAAUGUGGCCCUGACUCACUGCCAUUGGUUUCCCCUUCCCCCAGUGGGGUUGGGGGGUACCCCCCCACUGCAUUAUGUUAUUCUUAAGUCUCUGCACCCCCAGCCCUGUUCUCAUCACUUAUGACUGCUUUCUGAACAAGAAAAGAAGUGCAGAAAUAAAUGAAUGGCCUUGCGCAAG